UUGCUUUGGCAGCACAUAUACUAAAAUUGAGAAUGACCUAGAGAAGAUGAGCAUGACUCCUGACCAAUGAUCAAUGAAAAUGUAAGAAAGUGGUCUAUAAUUUUU